rnacentral:rRNA from 1 species
UUUUAAGUGAAAAGGCUUAAAUAUUUUAAGAAGACGAUAAGACCCUAUAAAGCUUUAUAAGAAGUUUAUAUUUAGUUAAAAUAAAUAAUAAAAUCUUAAUAUUUACUCUUAUUUUAUUGGGGAGAUAAAAUUAUAAUUUAAUAUAACUGAGUUUUAUUAAUACAGGGAAUAAAUGUUUAUUAGUAGAUAAAAGAUCCCUUCUAGGGAUUUUAAGUUUAAGUUACUUUAGGGAUAACAGCGUUAUUUCUUUUGAGAGUUCUUAUCGAAAAAGAAGAUUGCGACCUCGAUGUUGAAUUAAAAUUUCUAGAUUAUU